AUACGGGGGGUGCAAGCGUUAAUCGGAAUUACUGGGCGUAAAGCGCGCGUAGGCGGUUUGCUCAGUCGGAUGUGAAAGCCCAGGGCUCAACCUUGGAACUGCAUACGAUACUGGCAAACUAGAGUGUGAGAGAGGAUAGUGGAAUUUCCGGUGUAGAGGUGAAAUGCGUAGAUAUCGGAAGGAACAUCAGUGGCGAAGGCGACUGUCUGGCUCAACACUGACGCUGAGGUGCGAAAGCGUGGGUAGCAAACAGGAUUAGAUACCCUAGUAGUCC
rnacentral:rRNA from 1 species